GACGAACGCUGGCGGCGUGCUUAACACAUGUAAGUCGAGCGGUAAGGCCCUUUCGGGGUACGACGAGCGGCGAACGGGUGAGUAACACGUGGGUGACCUGCCUUUAGUCUCUGGGAUAAGCCUGGGAAACUGGGUCUAAUACCGGAUAUGACUCCAUGAUGCAUGUUGUGGGGUGGAAAGCCUUGUGCGGCUGGAGAUGGGCCCGCGGCCUAUCAGCCUGUUGGUGGGGUGAGGCCUACCAAGGCGACGACGGGUAGCCGGCCUGAGA
rnacentral:rRNA from 1 species